rnacentral:rRNA from 1 species
GACGAACGCUGGCGGCGUGCUUAACACAUGCAAGUCGAACGGUGAAAGCGGAGCUUGCUCCGCUGGAUCAGUGGCGAACGGGUGAGUAACACGUGGGCAACCUGCCCCUCACUUCGGGAUAACUCCGGGAAACCGGGGCUAAUACCGGAUAUGACCUCCUUGGGCAUCCUUGGAGGUGGAAAGUUUUUCGGUGAGGGAUGGGCCCGCGGCCUAUCAGCUUGUUGGUGAGGUAGUGGCUCACCAAGGCGACGACGGGUAGCCGGCCUGAGAGGGCGACCGGCCACGCUGGGACUGAGACACGGCCCAGACUCCUACGGGAGGCAGCAGUGGGGAAUAUUGCGCAAUGGGCGGAAGCCUGACGCAGCAACGCCGCGUGCGGGAUGACGGCCUUCGGGUUGUAAACCGCUUUCAGCAGGGAAGAAGCCGCAAGGUGACGGUACCUGCAGAAGAAGCACCGGCUAACUACGUGCCAGCCGCCGCAGUAA